rnacentral:rasiRNA from 1 species
ACAAUGCAGGACAGAGAGAGAGAGA